rnacentral:rRNA from 1 species
AUCAACGCUGGCGGCGUGCCCCAGACAUGCAAGUCGAACGCGAAAGUCCCCUUCGGGGGGCAAGUAGAGUGGCGCACGGGUGAGUAACACGUAGGUAAUCUACCUUUGGAUGGGGAAUAACACCGAGAAAUCGGUGCUAAUACCGAAUAAUGCAGCGGCACCUAAUGGUGACAGUUGUUUAAAGCGGGGGGAUCGCAAGACCUCGCGUCUGAAGAGGAGCCUGCGGCGGAUUAGCUAGUUGGUAAGGUAACGGCUUACCAAGGCUAUGAUUCCGUAGCCGGCCUGAGAGGGCGGUCGGUCCACACUGACACUGACAUACGGGUCAGACUCCUACGGGAGGCAGCAGUCGGGAAUUUUGGGCAAUGGGCGAAAGCCUGACCCAGCAACGCCGCGUGAAGGAUGAAAUCCCUCGGGAUGUAAACUUCGCAAGAACGGGAAGAAUAAGCUUUAGUGAAUAUCUGAAGCGGAUGACGGUACCGUUUGUAAGCUCCGGCUAACUCCGUGCCAGCAGCCGCGGUAAUACGGGGGGGAGCAAGCGUUGUUCGGAUUUACUGGGGCGUAAAGGGCGGGUAGGCGGCCAGCCGCAAGGUCAGUUGUGAAAUCUCCGGGCUUAACUCCGGAAAGGUCAACUGAUACUGCGGGGCUAGAGUGCGGAAGGGGCAACUGGAAUUCUCUGGUUGUAGCGGUGAAUAAAUGCGUAGAUAUCAAGAGGAACACCUGCGGCGGAAGGCGGGUUGCUGGGGCCUGACACUGACGCUGAUGCUGCGAAAGCUAGGGGAGCGAACGGGAUUAGAUACCCCGGUAGUCCUAGGCCUUAAACGAUGAAUGCUUGGUGUCUGGGGUUUAUAUAGUCCCCCGGGUGCCGUCGCUAACGCUUUUAAGCAUUCCGCCUGGGGAGUACGGUCGCAAGACUGAAACUCAAAGGAAUUGACGGGGACCCGCACAAGCGGUGGAGCAUGUGGUUUAAUUCGAAGCAACGCGAAAGAAACCUUACCAAGGCCUUGACAUGUCUGGAAUUCUGCGGAAACGCGGAAGUGCCCGCAAGGGAGCCAGAACACAGGUGGUGCAUGGCUUGUCGUCAGCUCGUGUCGUGAGAUGUUGGGUUUAAGUCCCGCAACGAGCGCAACCCCCGUUGUUAGUUGCCAUCAGGUAAUGCUGGGCACUCUAGCGAGACUGCCGGUGACAAACCGGAGGAAGGUGGGGACGACCGUCAAGUCAUCAUGCCCCUUAUGCCUUGGGCUACACACGUGUUACAAUGGCUGCGACAAUGCGAUGCAAGCCCGCGAGGGGGAGCCAAUCGCCAAACGCAGUCUCAGUUCGGAUCGCAGGCUGCAACUCGCCUGCGUGAAGUUGGAAUCGCUAGUAACCGUAGAUCAGCACGCUACGGUGAAUACGUUUCCCGGGCCUUGUACACACCGCCCGUCACGUCAUGGGAGCUGGUCACGCCCGAAGUCGGUGUUUAAAGCCGCCUAAGGCAGGGCCGGUGACUGGGACGAAGUCGUAACAAGGUAA